rnacentral:sRNA from 1 species
ACUGUGGAGAGCUAUACCAAACCGUAGUAGACAGAUUGAAUAGCAAUCGUCAAGGCGGGGUUCGUUGAAGCAGUAA